UACAGAGGUCUCAAGCGUUGUUCGGAUUCAUUGGGCGUAAAGGGUGCGUAGGCGGCGGGCAAGUCGGAUGUGAAAUCUCAGGGCUCAACCCUGAAACUGCAUUCGAUACUGCCUUGCUCGAGGACUGGAGAGGAGAUUGGAAUUCACGGUGUAGCAGUGAAAUGCGUAGAUAUCGUGAGGAAGACCAGUGGCGAAGGCGGAUCUCCUGGACAGUUCCUGACGUGAGGCACGAAGGCCAGGGGAGCAAACGGG
rnacentral:rRNA from 1 species